rnacentral:tRNA from 3 species
GCGUCAGUAGCUCAGUCGGAUAGAGCAACGGCCUUCUAAGCCGUGGGUCGGGGGUUCGAAUCCCUCCUGUCGCACCA